rnacentral:lncRNA from 1 species
AAACCCGUAGGCCAAUUUCAUUUAUAAAAACUGGUACAGACACCCUAAAUUAGCGAACAACUUAGUAGCAUUUUAAAAUCCUAAUAAAAAAAGGCCAUGUGAGGUUUAUUCUAGGCAUUUACAAAUGUUUUGAAAGUGGAAACUUAAUUUAUAUUAAGAUCUUAGUAACAGAGGCAUGUUGAGAGAGUGUCUACCAUCAUGAAUUUUUGAACAUGAUUCUAGAGGCAAUAGGUAAUGUGUGUGAGAGUAUGAACCUGUUCCUUUGGAAAACCCCAAAGAAUUAUUUGAAGAGGAGAAUUUAGAAAUGUGGCUGGCUAUAAUAAAAUCCAUAAAGAGCAAUACUUUCCUAUAGAUUAUAACUGGAUAGGGUACAAUGCCAGAGAAUCUAGCAUAGCAACAAUAGGUAAGUUUGUAAGAAUCGAAAGAAACCUGCAAGAUCGAGUUGAAGAAAACCAUCUCCUGAAGGACAAAGAUCCCCACCUGACUUCAGCGCAGCCGCCUGGACAGCUCUGGAGGGCUUCAACUCCUCUCAAGCACAGCCACUUCUUUCACCGCCUGUCCUGGGGUUCCUACUACACCGUAGAGGUUUCCAAGAGCCUGCUUGGAAGAAGCUCGGGGAAGAAAGAUUCCUAGAUCCAGGGUCAAGGAGUAAACCUGCCCGUAAACCAGGGACAGCACAGGGCUCCAGAUGGAGGCUGGUCACCAAGGUGUUUGGAAUGGACCGAAGUUCACCCUGUCCCUAGUCUGAGACCUCCUGUCCAGAACUUGCUCCUCCAGCUCCGUGAGGACUGUCCUGUGAGGCCUACGGACGAAACUGAGACGUCAAGACCUGGUCAGGGACGUGUUUUCUUGCCUGAGAGAGAGCAAGGAAAGCUCCCUCCAGGGGCCGCGCAUUGUCAGCGGCCAGUUGAGAGCCUGGCCUCCUUCAGAGCUUGCCCCUGUUCUUUGCGGCCAAGGCCAACCUCAUCCACACAUUUGUUCUCCUUCAACAAAGGCUUACUGAGCUCCUGUAAAAUGGCAGACUCUUCUGCGACCUUUCAUCCAGCUGACUCAUCCUAAGCUUAAAUUCCACUUGCCCUGGUAGCUCUUCCACUACCCCUACACUUGGUUAGAACCACCCUGCCCUCCUCCCCACCGCCCGUGUUCUUAACAUCCCACAUUUCUCCUACUUCUUGUAGCUGCUUAACUUUUGGGCUCCCCUGCUUGACUCUUGGCAUUAUGAGGGCAAAGGGCCUGAUACCUUAAUCACUGCUCUCGCACGGUGUCUGGCAUGCCAGGAUACCUUUGAUGAAGUUAUUUUAACCUCGAUAAGCUCCAGCUAGAAACACGGGAAUGAGAUCACCUUCUAGAUGUAAUCCCUGCCCCCUUUUACAAACCUGGGUGGGAGGAGAUGCAAAGAGAGGUUAGAGCAUCCAGCGAGUGGCAGAGGUAAAAUCACAACGCAGACAGUCUGACUCCAGAUCCUCAUUCUCCACCCUUAUGUGAUGCUCUCUCUCAAAGAUGCUCUUUGCAGGUAAUGCCAUGGUUCACCUGAUUUUCCUACCCCAGUUUAGAAACCGUGUAGGACUGCUGCCAGAAAUUUUGUGUUUCCCUUUUGUGGUCUGUUUAGGAUGUUAGCGACCACGUUUCGGAGCUGUCGGUGUGGGCAUAAAACAUACUUUGUAAGGUUGUUAUAAGGAUCACAGACCUUAUAAAGUGCAUAAAGACCUUAUGAAGUGCAGAGGGGGAUAAAGUUUUGAGGGUACUGUCUUAAGUAAUGAGGAUGAGUGUCCCGUAGCUGGCACGGCGGCGUCCAUGUAGUAAAUCCUCAACAGUGGUAACUGUCUUCUGCUUUGAACCACAUCGCUUUACUGUUCUGGAGUCCUCCUUCCUCUCAUGAGUUAAUAAAAACAUCUACAGGGCAUGCA